GAGAUCAGGGGUCAAACCUGUAUUCUCAUGCAUAUUAGUUGGAUUUGUUUCCACUGCGCCACAAUGGGAAUUCCCACAGCCUUGUAAAUUAACUAUACUUAAAUAAAACUUUUUUAAAAAGGACAUGACUUAGAGACACACAGAUUUUGGCCUGUUUGGUUUUAAAGCUUUUUGGCCAUACCGAAGUUUGCACCCCUUAAGGUGGGUUUUUGUAAACUACACACCCGUGUUACCACUCCCCAAGUCAGCAUAAAGGUCUUUAUCAGCCCCCAAAACCACCUUCAUGCAUGCUUCUAGACCUGCCCUCUCCACCCAUAGGAGUAGCUGCUGUCCUAAGUCACAGCACCUUACGUGAAUUUUGUCUGUGAACUUGAUAGAAGUGACGUCAUGCAGCAUAUACUCUACACUACAUAUACAUACACUCUACUGUAAACAGAUUUUUGCAGCCCCUUCAGUAGGCCUGUUCUCUGGGGGGAGUUAGCAGUGUUUAUUUUUAGGUCAGUAAACAGGUGGAGGUACAAAGAGGUACAAACCGCUAUGUCCCCCAUCUUGCCAGCCCACUUCCUGACCUAUAACUUCAGUUAAGACAAAGGCCUGGGUUUAUACAGCUCCAGCAAGUCUAACUGGGAGACACCUUCAGAGGCUGAGGAACCCAAGGCUCAAAACUGAUUGACUGACUGUGGUCCUGGAAAAGGGAAGCCCAGGAUCUGAGAGGCCAGGGCUCCACUGGGUCUCAGGUCUCUCUGCAGAGCUCCUUCCUUACCCUCUCCUCCCGGACCUGGUUCUUUCACAGCUCCGCUCCCAGCCCCACACCCCAUGGACCUCCCUGCUGCUCUCCACCAGCUGGGUCUGACAGCACUUCUGUCUUCACUGCAGGACCACGUCCAGUUCCUCUUCACCUCUUCACACCCAGAGUCCAGUCUAACAACAGCAGGGCAGGAGCAGAGCCUCGCAGAGCUGGGAGCCUUUACCUGCCCCCAUGAUGGGGCAGUCAGGCAGUACCACCUCCCCCAGCCUCCGUCCCCCAGAGGAGAGAGAGAGAGAGACCAAGUAGGUUGUUGCAGAAAUCCCGGAAGCAGCAUUUCGAGAACACCCAGAAGCCCAGUACUGGUGAAGUGUGGGUGUAGGAGCAAUCGCUCAUCUGCUCCCUCGUGCGGCAGUCACUCACCAUGACGUUGGAACCACUGUCUGGGGAGGAACGGCAGCCAUCAGGGACACAGAGGUCCCAGGCAAAGGCCUGAACCCUCCCAUUCUCUCACGCCACAUGGACCCACCAUCCCUGGCCCCACAGCCUUCCCUGGGCCCCCAGAAUGCAGAGUCCUGGAACUGGGCAGGGACCAGGAGUCACCAGCCAUGAAUGAACUCUUCAGAAGUUGCCCCUGGAAGGUUGGUGGGAAAGAGCCAUAUGGAAAUACAGAAACAGUUGGAACAGUUGGGGUGAGCUGGGACUUGAGCAGAGUGAGGCGAAACAGCACCGGGGGUGGGACCAUUUGAGAAAAAGUUGGGCGAUGUAUUUAUUGGAGGUCGGAUUGCAGACAGGAGGUGUCUUGUUUAUUUUAUGGAUCAAACGUGAGAGAAGAUGCUAUCUCUGCUGCUAUUACACAUGUUAGAUGGGGCAAUCUUUGUGCCCAUAUACGGGGAUGUUCCCUGCUGCCCUGCUUAAGAGACUGAAAACUUGGAAGCAACCUAAAGGUCCAGCAGUAGGAGGAUGAGUAAAUCACUCCGACGUGUCCCUGCUGGGGAGAACUACCCAGUGGGUCAGUAGGAUGAGGACGCUGGUUAGAAACUGCUACAGAGGCACCAAGUUCCUGCAACUGCAGUUUUAAAAAGAACAGGGUUUGCAGUAGUAUGCUCCUGUUUGUGGAGAGGAAAAAACGGCAAAAUGGAGUAAACAGCCUAUUUGUAGAGGGUGGGAUGUGAUCACAGAAAGGUCAAUAAAGGCAAUUUUAAAAGUA